AUCGUCGGCUCCCGCCCUCGCGUCUUAACCAAGCUGGCAGAGAACUCCGAGUUCCUCGGCUUUGUGGGAAAAUUCUAGGGUUCUUGUUCGCGAUCUUUCCUGAGAAGAGGAAGGAGAGAGGAGAGAGAAGACAGGAAGAGACCGCGUCCCCUGCUUUGGACGGAGCUGCCUUGAUCUUUCCUGCGGACUCUCGUCGGCCCCUCCAUCUUGACCUACUCCAAAUGGGUCCUGAAUAGGUGCCGCCGCCACUGGCAGCUCGGCCUCGAUCUCCCCUUCCUUGCCGCUCUCUGGCACUUCCACUUUUGUUGGUAGCCAUGGUUGACAACAAAGGUCCUCACUGAUGUUUGUUCUAGGAUGAGACAAAAGCACCUGCUCCCUUAUCGAACUGACUGGGACUUGAUCCAUCUUCUAGCAGGGGUUGGGUCCACAGAUGGACCACUGAGAGAGGCAUCUCCAAAACGUGGUAGCACCUCAAAAAUUCUUUUUGAUGUAAAUCAGAAAGUUGUAGUCCAACUUAUUUUAAGUUUUUUUUUUUUUUAACCUUUAACCUUCACUUUUAGUGGUCAUCUAAAGAUGUGAAUGCAACACUUCCAUUGCUUGUUAGUUUAUGUCAUUCUCCGAAUGAAUAAAUCAGAAUCAUCAACUACUCAA